rnacentral:piRNA from 1 species
UAGGUUAAGGUCAGGAUUAGCUAAGG